AGAGGAAGUACAAGGCAGGAGAGGUAGGGCAGCCCGGUUCCUGUGGGUCGGCCAGGAACAAGCCCAGCCACCAUAAGGUAAAGUAAAAACAGGUGAAAUUAAUGUUAAUAAUAAAUUUUAUUUAACCCAGUAUAUUCAAAAUAUUACUUCAACAUGUAAUCAAUAUAAAAAUAUUAUUGAGAUACUUUAUUUCUUUUUUUCAAAAUGCAGUGAGUAUUUUAAAUAUACUGACAAUGUAAGUCAGUUCUGAAUAGCUUGGGAAUAGUGGCUACUUAAUUGGACAGCACGGCUCUGGAAGGUCAAGUCAGCCUUCACCUUGACAGUCUCAUCUGGUAAGUGGGCAUAUCUCAAAGUUGUCAGGUGUCCGAAGGCUCCAAAUGUGACUUGCAGAGCUACAAGGACAGGUGCAGAAGCAAGGGAUUUCAUAAGCCAGAGAGUGCUCACUGGACCCCACAAUUCCCUCUCAACAAAACCAGGCUUAUGCUGCAUUCUAGUGAAACUUUCUCUGGUUGGGGAGACCCUGUGGCACUGGUUUCAUGGCUGCCCUGCAGAAAUGCUCUGUUCUGAGCCUGGGAAAUGGAGCUGUUUGAAAUGGAUCCAGGUUUUCAGCUGCCUGGUCCCUGCACCCCAUCUGCCAAGCACCAGGAGCGAGGCAGAUGCUAGAAACACAUCUGUCAACCUGCCCUGAUGGUUUCUGGCACUUCCCCCAGCCUUUCUGAGACUGUGUCCCCACCCUGGAAGAAGCCAGCACUCUCUGGGUUUUCAGUUACUGGUACCCACUGGAGAGCAAACUGGGGCAUCCCUGGAUGUGGCUUCCCCAGAAAGUGGUCCCCCAUUCUCAGGGACUGAUAGCUCUGUCUGCUUUGCUGCCUCCCACCCCUCUAACACAGCCCCUCUCUGAGACAGGAAGUAGAGUGUAAACCCAGCAGUCCCCACAGACACAGUGAGCAGCUCUGGGAAGGUCUGCAUGGGCUGCAGUGAAGCAAAUCCCAGCAUGGAGCAGGCCAGUGCCUGCGUGGCAAGCGACCAAACCUGCUUCUACUCCCGCUCUGCCUCUCUCCCCGAUAAUAUGAGUUGUUUUGAGGAUGAGACGAGAAUAUGUAAACAAAGUUCCUGACAAUCAGUACUCAACAACUUCUGGGUAGAACAAGACCGAGAGCUAACAGGGAAAAGAGAGGAUGCCUUAACCAUGGUGAUGGCAGAGCUAGACUCCAGGUCAGUGUCUGUUGUCCCUCAUCUGGGCCAUUACAGGUCACCACCACCGGGGGUUCCUGAAUGAUUUCAACAUUAUGUAGUUUAAGAGGGAAAAGUCAGUCCAUCUGGUUGUGUAUGUAUGGGCAUGUUUUAUAUGCCUGAAAGUCAUGAGUUAGAAAAGUUUAGAGUGUCUGACUCUCCUCUGUCAUGCCAGCUCCCAGGUCAUAGCCUGGAUCAAUGUAGGUGCUCAGUAGACACGGUUAAUCAGACAAGAGAAGAAAGGAGUGAGAAAAGCGGGGAGGGAAGGGAGAAGUCAAGAAAAUGUGAUGAGGGGUAUAAGGGGUAAGCAACAAAGAGACAGACCAGAAGGAAGAGGUGGAA
rnacentral:lncRNA from 1 species